AGAAACCAACCGGGAUAUGCCUUAGUAACGGCGAGUGAAGCGCAAAAGCUCAAAUUUGAAAUCUGGUACCUUCGGUGCCCGAGUUGUAAUUUGGAGAGGGCAACUUUGGGGCCGUUCCUUGUCUAUGUUCCUUGGAACAGGACGUCAUAGAGGGUGAGAAUCCCGUGUGGCGAGGAGUGCGGUUCUUUGUAAAGUGCCUUCGAAGAGUCGAGUUGUUUGGGAAUGCAGCUCUAAGUGGGUGGUAAAUUCCAUCUAAAGCUAAAUAUUGGCGAGAGACCGAUAGCGAACAAGUACAGUGAUGGAAAGAUGAAAAGAACUUUGAAAAGAGAGUGAAAAAGUACGUGAAAUUGUUGAAAGGGAAGGGCAUUUGAUCAGACAUGGUGUUUUGUGCCCUCUGCUCCUUGUGGGUAGGGGAAUCUCGCAUUUCACUGGGCCAGCAUCAGUUUUGGUGGCAGGAUAAAUCCAUAGGAAUGUAGCUUGCCUCGGUAAGUAUUAUAGCCUGUGGGAAUACUGCCAGCUGGGACUGAGGACUGCGACGUAAGUCAAGGAUGCUGGCAUAAUGGUUAUAUGCCGCC
rnacentral:rRNA from 1 species